GUUAUGACGCAGUGGCAGUAUUGUAGCCAAUGAGGUUAAUCCGAGGCGCGAUUAUUGCUAGUUGUAGACUUAUAGAAAGAGACCUUCUAAAAACGUUAAAAUGUAUUACUGGCACACACAACCUUACAUUAGAGU